AUAGUUAUCUGGCACGGGGAAUACCAUGAUAAAGAAGGUGGUUUCCCUAGUGUGUUACCUUUCCAUUGCACAGUUCAGUUGGGUUGUUCCUUGUGAUUUUCCCAAAUGUGGGAAACUCAACUGCAUAAUUUGUAAUUAUGACCAGGCCCUAGAACUGGUG